AACGCACAUUGCGCCUCCUGGUAUUCCGGGAGGCAUGCCUGUUCGAGCGUCAUUAAAUACCUCUCAAGCAGAUUUGCUUGGUCUUGGAAGAUGAGUUUGCUUGCAUUCUCCCUUCUGAAAUUCAAAGGCGGAUGAUCUCAUAUCCCCAGGCGUAGUAAGAUUAUCUUUUCGCAUGGUGUGUGUGAUAGUCCAGCCGUCAACCCCCAAUUUUUUCAAGGUUGACCUCGGAUCAGGUAGGGAUACCCGCUGAACUUAA
rnacentral:misc_RNA from 2 species